rnacentral:misc_RNA from 1 species
GUAGGUGAACCUGCGGAAGGAUCAUUACAGUGUUCGCUGCCCUCCGGGGUAGCAAACCUCACCCUUGCGUAUUAUAUCUUCGUUGCUUCGGCGCGCCGCCUCUUAGGCACUGGCUCCGGCUAGCUCGCGCGCGCCAAAGGACCCUAAACUCUGAAUGUUAGUGUCGUCUGAGUACUAUCUAAUAGUUAAAACUUUCAACAACGGAUCUCUUGGUUCUGGCAUCGAUGAAGAACGCAGCAUCUGACUGACU